rnacentral:rRNA from 1 species
UACGGAGGGUGCAAGCGUUAUCCGGAUUCACUGGGUUUAAAGGGUGCGUAGGCGGAUAAGUAAGUCAGUGGUGAAAUCUCCGAGCUUAACUCGGAAACUGCCGUUGAUACUAUUUGUCUUGAAUAUUGUGGAGGUAAGCGGAAUAUGUCGUGUAGCGGUGAAAUGCUUAGAUAUGACAUAGAACACCAAUUGCGAAGGCAGCUUGCUACACAAUGAUUGACGCUGAGGCACGAAAGCGUGGGGAUCAAACAGG